UGAGGAAUAUUGGACAAUGGGCGCAAGCCUGAUCCAGCCAUGCCGCGUGCAGGAAGAAGCAUCUAUGGUGUGUAAACUGCUUUUGUACGGGAAGAAACACUCCUUCGUGAAGGAGCUUGACGGUACCGUAAGAAUAAGGAUCGGCUAGCUCCGUGCCAGCAGCCGCGGUAAUACGGAGGAUCCAAGCGUUAUCCGGAAUCAUUGGGUUUAAAGGGUCCGUAGGCGGUUUAGUAAGUCAGUGGUGAAAGCCCAUCGCUCAACGAUGGAACGGCCAUUGAUACUGCUAGACUAGAGUGAAUAGGAAGUAACUAGAAUAUGUAGUGUAGCGGUGAAAUGCUUAGAUAUUACGUAGAAUACCAAUUGCGAAGGCGGGUUUCUACUUGUGGAUUGACGCUGAUGGACGAAAGCGUGGGGAGCGAACA
rnacentral:rRNA from 1 species